AGCAAUACCUCGCUGAUACGGGGGUGGAUCCGAAGUCUCUAGAAGGCUAUCAUAGGCUCUCCACCUCCUACACCCAGUGGCGGAUUUAACGGUACGCGGACUGAGCGGCCGCGGGGGGCCCCUUCUAUUUAGGGGCCCCGUGGAUGGUAAUUUCAGCAUA
rnacentral:ribozyme from 1 species